AUUCUGGCUCAGGAUGAACGCUAGCGACAGGCCUAACACAUGCAAGUCGAGGGGCAGCGCGGAAGUAGCUUGCUAUUCUGGCGGCGACCGGCGCACGGGUGCGUAACAGGUGUGCAAUCUGUCCAUAGUCGGGGAAUAGCCCAGCGAAAGUUGGAUUAAUGCUCCAUGUGAAGAGAAGCCGCAUGACUUUUCUUUGAAACGUAAGGACUAUGGGUGAGCACGCUUCUGAUUAGAUAGUUGGUGAGGUAACGGCUCACCAAGUCGACGAUCAGUAGGGUUCUGAGAGGAAGGUCCCCCACAUUGGAACUGAGACACGGUCCAAACUCCUACGGGAGGCAGCAGUGAGGAAUAUUGGUCAAUGGGCGAGAGCCUGAACCAGCCAAGUCGCGUGAAGGAUGAAGGUUCUAUGGAUUGUAAACUUCUUUUGUCCGAGGGUAAAAAAGGCCACGUGUGGCUUCUUGCAAGUAUCGGACGAAUAAGCAUCGGCUAACUCCGUGCCAGCCGCGGC
rnacentral:rRNA from 1 species